AUCCUCGCUGCCCCCUCCUAGGUGCCUCUGCCUGCCCUCUCCCCCACGAUGCAGAUGGGGACGAUCGCCCGCUGGGAGAAGAAGGAAGGGGACAAGAUCAGCGAGGGAGACCUGAUCGCAGAGGUAGAGACAGACAAAGCAACCGUGGGGUUUGAGAGCCUGGAAGAAUGCUAUCUGGCCAAGAUACUGGUACCUGAAGGAACACGGGAUGUUCCAAUAGGAUCCAUAAUCUGCAUCACUGUGGACAAGCCUGAACUUAUCGAUGCCUUUAAGGAUUAUACGUUGGAUUCAGCAGCUGCCGCCCCAUCAGCCUCAGCACCACCUCUGCCUCCUCCAGCAGCUCCCCCAGCACCAGCAACUCAGCCAUCUGCACAAGCUCCGGGCAGCUCCUACCCUCCCCAUAUGCAGAUUCUUCUUCCUGCCCUCUCUCCUACUAUGACAAUGGGCACCGUUCAGAGGUGGGAAAAGAAGGUUGGUGAAAAGCUGAGUGAAGGAGACUUACUGGCUGAAAUUGAGACGGACAAAGCAACAAUAGGCUUUGAAGUGCAAGAAGAAGGUUACUUAGCAAAGAUCUUGAUACCCGAAGGCACCAGAGAUGUCCCCUUGGGAACCGCACUCUGCAUCAUUGUGGAGAAGGAAUCUGACAUUCCUGCUUUCGCAGACUACAGAGAUGCUGGGAUGGCCGAUAUCAAGCCUCCUGUGUUGCCACCUCCGUUGCCACCAAGCCCUAUGACUGUGGCAGCUGCUUCGUCCCAGGCUGCGGCCCCUCCAGUCAAGACACCUGCCCAUAAAGGGAGAGUAAUAGUGAGCCCUCUAGCAAAGAAAAUAGCAGCAGAGAAAGGAAUUGAUCUGUCACAGGUGAAAGGUACGGGACCAGAUGGACGGAUCACAAAGAAGGACAUUGACUCAUUUGUGCCAUCUAAAGUUGCCCCAGCCCGAGCAGCAGAUGUACCAGCUCCUCCAGCUGCACGAGCAGUGGCUCCAUCUGUCCCCACAGGUGUUUUUACCGAUAUUCCCAUUAGUAAUAUUCGCAAGGUGAUUGCCCAGCGUUUGAUACAGUCUAAGCAAACAAUACCUCACUAUUAUCUCUCUAUCGAUAUAGACGUGGGAGAAAUAUUGGUGCUGAGAAAAGAACUCAAUCAGGAGAUGCCACAGAAUACCAAGCUUUCUGUCAAUGAUUUCAUUAUUAAAGCUUCAGCUCUGGCUUGCUUAAAGGUGCCUGAAGCGAAUUCUUCAUGGUUGGAUACAGUCAUUAGGCAAAAUCACGUAGUUGAUGUGAGUGUUGCGGUCAGUACUCCAGCAGGACUUAUAACGCCAAUUGUAUUUAAUGCGCACACAAAGGGGUUGGCUUCGAUUAACCAAGACGUUGUAGUGUUAGCAAGCAAAGCACGGGAAGGCAAGCUUCAGCCCCACGAGUUCCAGGGAGGAACCUUUACAGUCUCAAAUUUAGGAAUGUAUGGCAUUAAGAAUUUUUCGGCUAUAAUCAACCCACCACAGGCUUGUAUUUUGGCAGUUGGUGCAUCUGAGAAAAGGCUGGUCCCAGCAGAUAAUGAAAAAGGGUUUGAUGUGGCCAACGUCAUGUCUGUGACACUCAGCUGUGACCACCGUGUUGUGGACGGAGCAGUUGGAGCCCAGUGGCUUGCAGAGUUCAAGAGGUUCCUGGAAAAGCCAGUCACGAUGCUGCUAUAAUUUCUCAAGGCAACUAGACUUUGGCGACCUAGUCACUUCAUUCUAAAGAAGCUAUUUAUAUAUCUAAGGGUCAGUAAAUGCUGUUUUACUCCAAGCAGAAGUCAUUUGUUAAGGGAACUGGUGAAACUGGGUUCAGUUAAAGAUAGGCAACAUAUGGACUUGUUACAGAUUCUACCAUAGGUUCCUCCUUGCCCUUCUUAAUGGUCUGGCCAGGGCAGUCUGGGACGGUCCUCUCACUGAAAGGAAUGUGAGGGCACAAUUCCAUCAUUUAAGCACGGAUUGUGUGCAGGAAUGUGAAAAAUCUUUCCUUUCUAACAAGUUUGAGUGUGCGCUUUUGUGAAAUGCCCUGUCCCGUAUGUGAAACUGCUGUUUUGAGUGCAAAAUGGGCUGACUUAAGCUUGAAACACUCCAGAAAUUCUCAAAAUCAAACCAUAUUGCAGCUGCACCCUGCCUCCAGCAGUCUUGCAUCUGAAAUGGGGUGUUUAACUCAGAAUAGCUGAAACGAAACAUUUUGCACACUUCUAAUUGUGUGAAAGAAGGAAAACCCUGAUGGCUUGUGAACACUAGCCCAACCAGUUGUGAAUUAAUUGUGCUUGAGUUCCACUGAAAUCAAGGGGAUAAUUAGGCACAACUGUUUCAAAUUCAAAGGAAUUACAACAACCUUCUGCAGGAUCUGGCUGCUAUUCUGGAACAGCUUUGCUUUCUUGUCCAUCCCAGGCUCAAAAGAAACAGAAUUUCAUCAGUCAUGUAAAUAUAUAAAAAGCUUUGCUAGAAGUGGGAUUUCUUCAAAACACUGCCCAGUCACAUCUAUAAUUGUGCCCAAGGUGCAGAGAGGCACUAAUGGGAAAUGCCUCUUUUGCUUUCCAAUUUUAAAAAGUGGAUCAUGUAAUUGCUAAGUGAUGUGACCUGAAUAGCCAAGUAGGCCAUUAACCAGUACGCCCUGUGUUAUUCUGUAUCGCCAGCACUUCAUUGUCUCUUGUCAACUUGCGCUACCAAAUCCACUACAGAUAUAUACAUACAAUUAAAUAUUUUUCUGAGAACUAAUUUGUUGAUUUGGUUGUAAUUCAACCUUUUGGUAAGAAAAGUUGUGCUUAAAGAGUCUUAAUUUGGUUACACGUUGGCUUGUUAAGCCAGCUGAAUUCAAUUAAAAGUUUGUUGUUCAUUA